rnacentral:rRNA from 1 species
UUAAAAUUUUAUAAAAAUAAUUUAUAUAUUUUUUGUUUAAGUAUUAAUUAAGAAAAAAUUUUUAGAUUAAUAGUUUAUUAGUAUUGUAAAAGAAUUAAAUUAAAAUUUUUUAAAGAAUAUUUAUAUAGUACCUUUUGUAUCAGGGUUGAUUAAAAUUUUAAAUUUAUUAUUUUAUUUCUCAAAAAUUAUAGAGUUAAUUUUAUUAUUAAGUUACUGUUUUAUAAGUAUUUAAAAAAUAAUAUUAGUUUUGAAAUUUAACUCGUUAUAGUAUAUUUAGUUAUUUAAGAUUUAAAUUUAAUUUAAAAUUUUAAAAGUUUAUAUUAAUUUUAUUAAUUAAAAUUUUAAAUUUAAAUUAUUUUAGGGAUAAGCUUGAAAUUUUUAUAUAAUAAUUAUUUUUAUUAAAUAAUUAAUAGGAAUAGAAAUUUUUAUUUAAGUUUGUAAAAAUUUAUUAUUUUAUUUUUAUUUGAUUUAUUAAAUUAAUUUAUUUUUAAUAUUAAAUUUUAUAAAUAAAUGAGUUAUUUAUAGUAAUAAUGAUUAAAUUAGUAUAAUAAAAAUUUAUAAAUUAUGAAUUCGGCAAAAAUUAUUUUCAUCUGUUUAUCAAAAACAUUGUAUUAAGUUUUAUUUAAUAUAUAAUCUGCUCAAUGAAAUUUUAAAUAGCUGCAGUAUUUUGACUGUGCAAAGGUAGCAUAAUAAUUAGUCUUUUAAUUGAGGACUUGAAUGAAAGAUUUGAUGAAAAAUAAACUUUAUUAUUUAUAUAAUUAAAAUUUUAUUUUUAAGUAAAAAAGCUUAAAUUAUUUAAAGGGACGAUAAGACCCUAUAAAACUUUAUAAAUUAUUAAUAUUUAAUUUUUCUUGUUUAAUAAAUAUUUAAAUUUUMAUAUUUAUUUUAUUGGGGUGAUAAAAAAAAUUAAACUUUUUUUAAAAUUUAACAUUAAUUAAUGAAUAUUUGAAUUAAAAAUUUUAAUUAAAGGAAAAAGUUACUUUAGGGAUAACAGCGUAAUUAAUUUUUUAAGCCCAAAUUUAAAAAUUAGUUUGCGACCUCGAUGUUGAAUUAAGAUUAAUCUUAGGUGCAAAAUUUUAAGNGUUAGGUCUGUUCGACCUUUAAAAUCUUACAUGAUUUGAGUUCAGACC